GAUGAACGCUAGCGGCAGGCCUAACACAUGCAAGUCGAGGGAGAGGUUACCUUCGGGUCACCAACACCGGCGCACGGGUGCGUAACGCGUAUACAAUCUGCCUUUCACAUAGGGAUAGCCCGAAGAAAUUUGGAUUAAUACCUAAUGGUAUAUAAAAGCGGCAUCGUUUUUAUCUUAAAGCUACGGUAGUGAACGAUGAGUAUGCGUUCUAUUAGCUAGUUGGAUAGGUAACUGCUCCCCAAGGCGACGAUAGAUAGGGGUUCUGAUAGGGAGGUCCCCCACACUGGUACUGAGAUACGGACCAGAAUCCUACGGGAGGCAGCAGUGAGGAAUAUUGGACAAUGGUCGGAAGACUGAUCCAGCCAUGCCGCGUGCAGGAGGAAGGUCCUAGGGAUUGUAAACUGCUUUUGUAAGGGAAGAAUAAGAGCUACGGGUAGUUUGAUGACGGUACCUUACGAAUAAGCAUCGGCUAACUCCGUG
rnacentral:rRNA from 1 species